rnacentral:lncRNA from 1 species
AACCAAGGGCCCUCAGCUGCUCCUCAUACACCUUCCCCUCCAAACCCGUCACCAUCUCUGUAGCCCUCCUUUGGACACUCCCUAACAGUUUUAUAUCCUUCUCGUACUGUGGGGCCCAAAACUGCACACAGUACUCGAGGUGAGGCUGCACGAGCACAGAGCAGAGCAGGACAAACCCUUCCCUUAACCAGUUAGCAAUGCUGUGCUUGAUGCAUUCCAGGGUAAGGUUGGACCUUCUGACUGCCAGGGCACACUGCUGGUAUCCCCAAGCCAGCCACAUGGUGGUAUAACAUCUAUAACCAUGGACAGACCCAAGUAGGAUACACUGGUGAGUGGAUCUGAGUAAGUGGAAGAAGGGCAAGAAACAGAUUAAAUUUCGAACUGAAUGAGUGAGUCCAUGCCAUUAAGUAAUUUAGAGGGAUUAUAUCCAUCCCACAAGCUUCUGAGUAUGCAGAAUUAGUUCCAUCCAAAACAGUCACCCCUGAGUUUUUGGAACAGUUUGCUUCAAGCAACACCCUACUGGCCCACUGAGUAAGCUCCUCCUUUCCUGGAGUCCUCCUCCCCCAUCCAAGCAAUGCUGCAUUUGGACCCUCAGGCACCAAAAUACACCGCCACCAUCACUCAGCCAUGCAACGUGCACCUCAGCUUCCUACUUGAAUGAACUACAGCACAGCACCAUCGCAUCAGACGUUGAGAGAACACACACACGUUACGGCACUACACCAGUGAUGGAGAAGAUGCAGUGUGGGUGCCACCAGGCUAGAGGAGACAGCCCUAAGCAGCGUGUGAAAUCUUCUAGUGGUGGUGCAGUGGCAAACAGUCACGUAUGAAACUUGGUAUCUGAAGUUGAGCUCCUGUAACUACUAUACAGCCAUCAUUUGAAGACUGCUACUAAGUGGUUAAGAGUUGAUUGAACCUUGAAAAGCUUAGUCCUGAAUUUUAGAGCUUGUCCUUCCUUAGGUCUCCUAUCUGGAAGUAAAUUUUCUAGAGAACAAGCCUCUACACAUUUAAAGAUACCUGUUUAUUUUUUCCUUUAAUCAACUUUAGCAAAUAAAAAUGAGAAGAGCAAUGCA